CUAGGUCCAGCUCCGAGCCAGAGGAAAAUAAAUUGCCUGCCUGGAGGUUUUAGUCAGUUUCAGUUUACACAGCACCUUCUGUUGAGUCUACCUUUCAGAGAUUAAUUACCAAAUAAUCUUAUUUUUACCACUAGCAUAAAAGCAGUCUUUAACUUUGUCGGAGCCACUACAUUUGCCUAUUUGCCUUCCAGAGACAACGGAGGGGUGUUGCUAGUUCAACUAGUUCAAAUGAGGCCUUAAUUUACUUUAACUGCUUUUUGUUUAGGUCACUUCAGCCUGGGAGAACCAGAGUUUGAGCUAAAACAGCGUCUUAUUCUUGCAGGUGGAUGUCCAGAGAGAUGAGCCAGUCGUUUUCCUUUCAGAUGUCGGCUUGAAGGUUCCAGCCAAUUCACCCGUGAAUUAGAUUUGAGCCCCCUGAUAUUCGCGGGGGGUUAGGCAUCACAAUCGCUACCGAAUAGCUGAAAUCCAUGCCAAUAGCAUGUCAAGCAAAGACUAUUUGGUGUUCUGUGGGUCUGCACCAGGAUUUCCUCUGUGUGGCGCAUGCCUGGAAAACCCUCAAAGGCAAGGAGAGAGAACCUUCUGACCAGAAGGAGAGAGAACCUCCUCAACUCUCCCCACAUGACAGAGUUUGGUCUAUUUCUACAGCUGAGUUUCACCAUCUUAUGAAAGAAGUCCAUUUCAGCAGGUUGGACAUGGAACCCUGUUCUUUAAGUCAUUUCCAUAUCUCUUGACCAUG